UUAAUUUUGACAAUAACACCAUACCAUUACCCCAUUACAAGAUGAUAAAACCUAGUUGACUAAAAAAUAAAAUACAAGAAUUGUAAAAACAGGAAGCAAAUGAAAGAUUGAAACACAACAUGGUGAGGCAUAAGAGAACUGGUUUUAGUUUACUAACUAACAAAAACAGUCAACAAAAUGAAGAUUACAACAACAUAAAAAAUAAACUUUUGAAACUGCAUAAUACAAUUAAUAUCCUUGUUUAUUUUCAUCAAUUCGUUCUCUAUGUUCAAUAGUUUUUUGUCUUCGGACUUGACCUCUGUUGCUAAAUCAUGUUUCUCAUUCUGAACAUUAGAUGAUGGAAAAAUAACAGCAUUUAUCGGACUUUCCCAAUCAAUAAACCCACAAAUAUUUUGUCGGCAUGUUUAGUAGAGUCUAUUUGGAUUUAUGUCCAAUGUUGAUAUCUUUACUUCUGCAUGCUAUUUUUCUGUAUUGUAGAUGCUUGUGACACGAAGAUUACUACCGUUAAAACUUGAUGAAGACAUGUUGAAGGUUAGAUGCUUGUGUUGAUCUGAUGGAAUACAGUUUGAUAAUGUUAGGUGAAGAUUUGAUGGUAUGUAUGGUUUUGGUAACAAGGAAAAGGGGGAAAUAUGGUUUAUGUGUCUCUAAAC
rnacentral:lncRNA from 1 species